rnacentral:rRNA from 1 species
CAGCCGCCGCGGGAAUACGUAGGGUGCGAGCGUUAAUCGGAAUUACUGGGCGUAAAGCGUGCGCAGGCGGUUAUGUAAGACAGGUGUGAAAUCCCCGGGCUUAACCUGGGAACUGCGCUUGUGACUGCACAGCUAGAGUAUGGCAGAGGGGGGUGGAAUUCCACGUGUAGCAGUGAAAUGCGUAGAGAUGUGGAGGAACACCGAUGGCGAAGGCAGCCCCUGGGCCAAUACUGACGCUCAUGCACGAAAGCGUGGGGAGCAAACAGGAUUAGAUACCCCUGUAGUCCCUGUCUCUUAUACA